CGCCUCUUGCAAAAUUAACGAAUAAGAGGUCCUGCCUGCCCUGUGACCAUGAGUUCAACGGCCGCGGUAUUUUGACCGUGCAAAGGUAGCGCAAUCACUUGUCUUUUAAAUGAAGACCCGUAUGAAUGGCAAGACGAGGGCUUAGCUGUCUCCUUUUUCAAGUCAAUGAAAUUGAUCUUCCCGUGCAGAAGCGGGAAUUCCGACAUAAGACGAGAAGACCCUAUGGAGCUUUAGACACCAAGACAGACCACGUCAAAACUCCCUAAUAAAGGACCGAACUAAAUGGACCCUGUCCUAAUGUCUUUGGUUGGGGCGACCACGGGGAAAUACAAAACCCCCGCGUGGAAUGGGAGUACCCUUGCUCCUACAACUGAGAGCUUCCGCUCUAAUAAACAGAAUUUCUGACCAACAAGAUCCGGCAACGCCGAUCAACGAACCGAGUUACCCUAGGGAUAACAGCGCAAUCCUCUUUUAGAGCCCAUAUCGACAAGGGGGUUUACGACCUCGAUGUUGGAUCAGGACAUCCUAAUGGUGCAGCCGCUAUUGAGGGUUCGUUUGUUCAACGAUUAAAGUCCU
rnacentral:rRNA from 1 species